rnacentral:lncRNA from 1 species
AAAAAAAUUUUUGAAGGAGAAAAGAGUUAAAGAAAAACCAAAAAGAGAUAAAAAACUAUAGAUAUUUUGCUAUUUCAUCAAUUUAGAGGAAGGAAUUCAGAAAUAAAAAACAAUAGCUGUAAGCCCUGCAGAGAUACUGCUCCAUUAAGUUGUCAGUGGACGAUUUGAAAUAUUCAUCCCUUGGUUUAGUUUCUGAGUGUUUUGAGCAUUAGAAUGGUUUGGAAAACGGUUGUUGGGGUCAAAUCCUAAGAUUUGCUGGGCUGGUUGAUUGUUGGGUGUCUGCACAUCAAUUUUCUUAAAGUUUUGGAGUGUUUAUAGUUGAUUUUCUCGAGUUUGCUGAGGCUAACUCCUAUUGCUGCUCUACUGAUCUCAUUUGCUGUUUCUCUUUCAAUUUCCAGGUAUUACUUAGCCAUAUGGACAUCACUUGAUGUGUAAUGUGAACUUUGGACUGAAACGAGACGGAGCAUAGUGUUAUGUUCAUUGAAAUUCUUACUUGUUAUGUCAGUCUUGUGAUUAGCAUGCCUUAUUUAGAUUUUGGUUAAUGUACUUAUUAUUAUAUGGGUUGUAAUUAAAGCCUAAACCACACUAGCCUAGUAUAUGUAAUCAGCUAAAGGUACGAGUUUAAUUCCAUCCCUUUUUUUAAA